CAAGUACUCCCUCCGUCCGGAAUUACUUGUCAUCAAAAUGGAUGUGUCUAGAACUAAAAUACAUCUAGAUACAUCCAUUUCAAUGACAAGUAUUUUCGGACAAAGGGAGUACAAG
rfam:Triticum aestivum genome assembly, contig: Triticum_aestivum_CS42_TGACv1_scaffold_030513_1BL